rnacentral:rRNA from 2 species
GUUAUAUGGUCAAGCGAAUAAGCGCACACGGUGGAUGCCUAGGCGGUCAGAGGCGAUGAAGGACGUGGUAGCCUGCGAAAAGUGUCGGGGAGCUGGCAACAAGCUUUGAUCCGGCAAUAUCCGAAUGGGGAAACCCACUGCUUCGGCAGUAUCCUGCAGUGAAUUCAUAGCUGCUGGAAGCGAACCCGGUGAACUGAAAUAUCUAAGUAACCGGAGGAAAAGAAAUCAACCGAGAUUCCCUAAGUAGUGACGAGCGAACGGGGAACAGCCCUUAAGCUGGAAUGGCUUUAGAAAAACAAUCUGGAAAGAUUGGCCAUAGAAGGUGAUAGCCCUGUAUUUAAAAGGGCCACUCCAGUGAAGACGAGUAGGGCGGGGCACGUGAAACCCUGUCUGAAUAUGGGGGGACCAUCCUCCAAGGCUAAAUACUCCUGACCGACCGAUAGUGAACCAGUACCGUGAGGGAAAGGCGAAAAGAACCCCGGAGAGGGGAGUGAAAUAGAUCCUGAAACCGUGUGCGUACAAGCAGUAGGAGCUCGCAAGAGUGACUGCGUACCUUUUGUAUAAUGGGUCAGCGACUUACUGUUCGUGGCAAGCUUAACCGUAUAGGGGAGGCGAAGGGAAACCGAGUCUGAUAAGGGCGCAUAGUCGCGGGCAGUAGACCCGAAACCGGGUGAUCUAGUCAUGGCCAGGGUGAAGGUGCCGUAACAGGUACUGGAGGCCCGAACCCACGUCUGUUGCAAAAGACGGGGAUGAGCUGUGAUUAGGAGUGAAAAGCUAAUCGAACCCGGAGAUAGCUGGUUCUCCUCGAAAGCUAUUUAGGUAGCGCCUCGGACGAAUACUACUGGGGGUAGAGCACUGUUAUGGCUAGGGGGUCAUCGCGACUUACCAAACCAUUGCAAACUCCGAAUACCAGUACGUACUAUCCGGGAGACACACGGCGGGUGCUAACGUCCGUCGUGAAAAGGGAAACAACCCAGACCCACAGCUAAGGUCCCAAAUUCACUGCUAAGUGGAAAACGAUGUGGAAAGGCACAGACAGCCAGGAGGUUGGCUUAGAAGCAGCCACCCUUUAAAGAAAGCGUAAUAGCUCACUGGUCGAGUCGGUCUGCGCGGAAGAUUUAACGGGGCUAAGCAGUGAACCGAAGCUUGGGGUGCAUAAAACUUGUUUUAUGCGCGGUAGAGGAGCGUUCCGUAAGCCUGCGAAGGUGGAUUGAGAAGUCUGCUGGAGGUAUCGGAAGUGCGAAUGCUGACAUGAGUAACGAUAAUGCGGGUGAAAAGCCCGCACGCCGAAAGCCCAAGGUUUCCUUGCGCAACGUUAAUCGACGCAGGGUUAGUCGGUCCCUAAGGCGAGGGCGAAAGCCGUAGUCGAUGGGAAGCAGGUUAAUAUUCCUGCACCUCGCGUGAGUGCGAUGGAGGGACGGAGAAGGUUAGGUGUACCGGGCGUUGGUUGUCCCGGGGAAAGGCGGUAGGUUUGAAUCUUUGGCAAAUCCGGGAUUCUUUAAGACCGAGCACCGAGACGAGCCUUUAUGGCGAAGUCACUGAUACCACGCUUCCAGGAAAAGCUCCUAAGCUUCAGCUCACGAAGACCGUACCGUAAACCGACACAGGUGGGUAGGAUGAGAAUUCUCAGGCGCUUGAGAGAACUCGGGUGAAGGAACUAGGCAACAUGGCACCGUAACUUCGGGAGAAGGUGCACCCUUUUUGGUGGCUCAUGCGAGCUAUAGCUGAAGAGGGUCGCAGAAACCAGGCCGCUGCGACUGUUUAUCAAAAACACAGCACUCUGCAAACACGAAAGUGGACGUAUAGGGUGUGACGCCUGCCCGGUGCUGGAAGGUUAAUUGAUGGGGUCAGCCGCAAGGCGAAGCUCUUGAUCGAAGCCCCAGUAAACGGCGGCCGUAACUAUAACGGUCCUAAGGUAGCGAAAUUCCUUGUCGGGUAAGUUCCGACCUGCACGAAUGGCGUAACGACAGCGGCGCUGUCUCCACCCGAGACUCAGUGAAAUUGAAAUCGCUGUGAAGAUGCAGCGUUCCCGUGGCAAGACGGAAAGACCCCGUGAACCUUUACUAUAGCUUUACACUGAACGUUGAGUUCGUCUGUGUAGGAUAGGUGGGAGGCUAUGAAACUGUGGCGCUAGCUGCAGUGGAGCCAUCCUUGAAAUACCACCCUGUCGUGCUUGACGUUCUAACCUAGAUCCGUUAUCCGGAUCAGGGACCGUGUAUGGUGGGUAGUUUGACUGGGGCGGUCUCCUCCUAAAGAGUAACGGAGGAGCACGAAGGUACGCUCAGCGCGGUCGGACAUCGCGCACUGUGUGCAAAGGCAUAAGCGUGCUUGACUGCAAGAUCGACGGAUCAAGCAGGUACGAAAGUAGGUCUUAGUGAUCCGGUGGUUCUGUAUGGAAGGGCCAUCGCUCAACGGAUAAAAGGUACUCCGGGGAUAACAGGCUGAUACCGCCCAAGAGUUCAUAUCGACGGCGGUGUUUGGCACCUCGAUGUCGGCUCAUCACAUCCUGGGGCUGUAGUCGGUCCCAAGGGUAUGGCUGUUCGCCAUUUAAAGUGGUACGCGAGCUGGGUUCAGAACGUCGUGAGACAGUUCGGUCCCUAUCUGCCAUGGGCGUUGGAAGUUUGAGAGGGGCUGCUCCUAGUACGAGAGGACCGGAGUGGACGAACCUCUGGUGUUCCGGUUGUCACGCCAGUGGCAUUGCCGGGUAGCUAUGUUCGGAAGCGAUAACCGCUGAAAGCAUCUAAGCGGGAAGCGCGCCUCAAGAUGAGACUUCCCGGGGCACAAGCCCCCUAAAGGAACCAUAUAGACUAUGUGGUUGAUAGGUCAGGUGUGUAAGUACAGCAAUGUAUUGAGCUAACUGAUACUAAUGAUCCGUGCGGCUUGACCAUAUAACCU